rnacentral:rRNA from 1 species
UACGUAGGGGGCAAGCGUUGUCCGGAAUCAUUGGGCGUAAAGAGCGUGUAGGCGGCCAGAUAAGUCCGCUGUGAAAACUCGAGGCUCAACUUCGAGCUGUCGGUGGAAACUAUUUGGCAAGAGUCCGGAAGAGGAGAGUGGAAUUCCUGGUGUAGCGGUGAAAUGCGCAGAUAUCAGGAAGAACACCCGUGGCGAAGGCGGCUCUCUGGUACGGAACUGACGCUGAGACGCGAAAGCGUGGGGAGCGAACAGG